rfam:Penicillium steckii strain IBT 24891 PENSTE_contig023, whole genome shotgun sequence.
GGAGCUGUAACUCAAUGGUAGAGUGUCUGAUUCCAGAUCGGAAUUUCCAGAGUAAGACUCUCUCACAGUAUCCUAAUUGCCUCAAUAGUUGACUAACAAUUCCUCCAGUGGUUGGGUGUUCGAUUCACUUCAGCUUCA